AGAGAUGUGUGAUGACGCAUAUCAAUAAGCGGAGGAAAAGAAACUAACAAGGAUUCCCUUAGUAACGGCGAGUGAAGCGGGAAGAGCUCAAAUUUGAAAUCUUCAAGGUUCUACCUUGACGAAUUGUAGUUUAUAGAAGUGUUUUCUGUUAGUAGAGUGGCAAAAGUUCUUUGGAAUAGGACAUCAUAGAGGGUGAGAAUCCCGUAUUUGGUCAUUCCUUCCUAGCUUUGUGAUACACUUUCAACGAGUCGGAUUGUUUGGGAAUGCAGUCCAAAAUGGGUGGUAAAUUUCAUCUAAAGCUAAAUAUUGGCGAGAGACCGAUAGCGAACAAGUACCGUGAGGGAAAGAUGAAAAGAACUUUGAAAAGAGAGUUAAACAGUACGUGAAAUUGUCAAAAGGGAAGCGUUUGACACCAGUGUUGUUUUCUCGAAAAUCAAUCAAGAAUGUCUUGAUUUUUGAGGAGUUAUUGACUUUAUCGGCUUGCUUCUCUCUUUUCACGAACUUUCUUUAAUGCACUUUUCGGUUAACAAGUCAACAUCAAUUUCUUUCGUUGUAAAAGGGUAUGAGGAAGGUGGCUUUCUUUUCGGAGAAAGUGUUUAUAGCCUUGUGCCUCUGCAAUCGGAGAGAUUGAGGUCUGCAGCGUAGAUCCUUCGGGGUUAGAUACAUUUGUGCUAAGUUAUAGCUUUUCAUAGACAACUUGUUGACUAUGUUUAGUCUUGUAGCUUACUCGCUUAUGCUAUUUUACCUACGCUUAGGAUGUUGAAGAUGUAGCACAUCAU
rnacentral:rRNA from 1 species